rnacentral:rRNA from 1 species
CCCUUAGAUGUUCUGGGCCGCACGCGCGCUACACUGAUCAGUGCAACAAGCAUCCGUCCUUGGCCGACAGGCCCGGGCAAUCUUUGAACGCUGAUCGUGAUGGGGAUAGACUUUUGCAAUUUUUGGCCUUCAACGAGGAAUUCCUAGUAAACGCAAGUCAUCAACUUGCAUUGAUUACGUCCCUGCCCUUUGUACACACCGCCCGUCGCACCUACCGAUUGAAUGGUCCGGUGAAGCCUCCGGAUUGGCGUGCACCCUCGGGUGCUGCCGAGAAGUUGGCUAAACCUUACCAUUUAGAGGAAGGUGAAGUCGUAACA